CUCGUAGGCGGUUAGUCACGUCGGAUGUGAAAACCCAGUGCUUAACACUGGGCCUGCAUUCGAUACGGGCUGACUAGAGUGUUGUAGGGGAGACUGGAACUCCUGGUGUAGCGGUGAAAUGCGCAGAUAUCAGGAAGAACACCGGUGGCGAAGGCGGGUCUCUGGGCAACUACUGACGCUGAGGAGCGAAAGCGUGGGGAGCAAACAGGAUUAGAUACCCUGGUAGUCC
rnacentral:rRNA from 1 species